UAAAUUCAGGCUCCUCCUCAGGCUUGAAGAGAUUUCCGGGAGCGGUGACUCUCAUCUGCUCGAAGAUGAGCCCACUGUGGACCUUCCUCUUCCUGCUGUCAGCUCCCAGCGGGGUCCUGUCCCAGGUGCAGCUGCGGGAGUCGGGACCCAGCCUGGUGAAGCCCUCACAGACCCUCUCCCUCACCUGCGCUGUCUCUGGAUUCUCACUAAGCAGCUAUGGUGUAAGCUGGGUCCGCCAGGCUCCAGGGAAGGCGCUGGAGUGGGUUGGUAUCAUAUAUGGUGGUGGAAGUACAUACUAUAACCCAGCCCUGAAAUCCCGGCUCAGCAUCACCAGGGACACCUCCAAGAGCCAAGUCUCCCUCUCACUGAGCAGCGUGACACCUGAGGACACGGCCGUGUAUUACUGUGCAAGAGACACAGUGAGGGGAAGUCAGAGCGAGCCCAGACAAAAACCUCCCUGCAUGGGCGCCCAGGACCACCAGGGGGCGCUCGGGACUCGGUAGAAAGCCGAGCCCAGGCGCAGGGGCGGAAGAGGCGUUGGGGGCUGGACGGCCUGGAGGGGAUUCUCUUCAGAACCUGCUCUUUACUGCUCCUGCCCAGGAGCUAAGCCACAGACCCUCUCACGUGUCCUGAGAUUUCAUUGCUGUGGUUUAUGUCACUCUCUGACAACUGU